rnacentral:rRNA from 1 species
GAUGAACGCUGGCGGCGUGCCUAAUACAUGCAAGUCGAGCGAACAGAUCUGGCGCAUGCUCCUCUGACGUUAGCGGCGGACGGGUGAGUGACACGUGGAUAACCUCCCUAUAAGACUCUGCUAACUACUCGAGAACGCAGCUAAUACAGAGGAACUUAUAGCACAGCAUGGAGCAGUACUCAUAGACGGCUUUUCUGACACUUCGAGAUGUAUCGGCGCCGCAUUAGCUAGUUGGUAAGGUAACGGCUUACCAAGGCAAGGAUGCGUAGCCGACCUGAGAGGGUGAUCGGCCACACUGGAACUGAGACACGGUCCAGACUCCUACGGGAGGCAGCAGUAGGGAAUCUUCCGCAAUGGGCGAAAGCCUGACGGAGCAACGCCGCGUGAGUGAUGAAGGUCUUCGGAUCGUAAAACUCUGUUAUUAGGGAAGAACAAAUGUGUAAGUAACUAUGCACGUCUUGACGGUACCUAAUCAGAAAGCCACGGCUAACUACGUG